AGGGCGAUCAGCGAAGUUAGGCAGGAAGAAAUGGGAGGGAUAAAGCUCUAAAGGCGAUCUGAAAACCAUGGAAAUGACCUGAGAGAGAAAGAAAAUUAUCGAGAAAAAGAAAAACCGAAAAAUACGGAAUUCAAAACUUUCUCCGGGUUGGACAUUCUCUGGAAAUGUAGACCACAGGCCCUCACGUUGGACAGACAAAAAGGCAGCCCACCCCUCUCUGGCAAACAGAGCGGAGGCUCGUGCUGCUGCUCCAUCCUGGAUUCAAGCGACCAGCGCGCAGGAUGAUACCGAGUGGACGUAUGACGAUGCGCGCGCGGGAUCCAGUCCGCAAACCGUCUCCAUCCGUUCCACUUAGUGGGUAAUUCCGCUGCGUUCUGCUAUCUUCGCACAGCAGAUGUGUGAUGCUAUCGGGACGGGCGGCGCAAUCCCCUCCAUCCCAUGCUGACCACUGCAUAGCGCGGAGGCUCCACACUGCGCGCUUACACUGUAAAAAGUGUCAAUCUAAAAAAGUCAAUGCUUAAAAAAAUGACAGAUCAAACUGAAUGUGUAUUUUAGAUUUAAAUGUGCCAAAAAAUAACAGUUUAUAGGGAAAAAAUGAUAGAAAAGAAGGUUUUGAAAAAUAAAAUAAACAUAAAGUUAUUUUUUAAACCUAAAAAUACAUAUUUUUGUCGUUUAUUGUUUAAAAAAAUGCUAAAAUUACUAUUAUAACUGGAUAAAGAUAUACUUAUUUUCUAACUUAAUUAAAAUAUGUCGGUUUUUACUUUUUAGCUCAAAAGUCGCGCCAAUUUUUUUUACCAGCAGAGCCUGUAGAAAAGUUUCAAACAUCCUCUCCCUCCCUCCUUUCUUUUAUUGUUUUUUAUUGUGUGGUCUCAUUAGGGGGACUUCCUGGCAGGGCUCGGAGCUUGUAUCGGAGCUGUCCAAUCAGUGUAUUUACACGGGUUGUUAGCGACAGUUAAUGAGGGCUCCUCCCCGGGCUGCUGGAGAAAGGCGCCUCAACAUUAAGAUUUACCUUGUGUCAACUCGUUACUUCUAAUGAACACCACCCCCCCAAUGCAAAAGCCUCCUCGUCCUCAAUGGAGCAGCGCGCCCGGAUCUUGUGUGGGAGACUCUGGAAGAGUGGAGCUGCAAGUCGCCCCCACCCCUCCCAUCCCCUUUUCUUCCGCUCACUCAGGGAGAGUUCAGCUCUAUGAUGCACGCAUGCACGCUUUGUGCAUGUGUCCUUAAAUGGAUCAAAUUUGGGAGAGAUUUUACAUUUUUUGUCCUCAAAAUUUUGAUAGUUCUCUAUAUUUGGUGGAAUCUGUCAGUAAACAUCAAAAUAACUUUAUUUAUCGUCAGUUUGUGCGUCAUGGAGACACCUUACAGGUAAAAUCCUAAAGAACUGACAACUGACUGUUCCUUAUAUCAUGUUUUUCAAGUUUAUAAAAACAAAAGCCACAAUUUUGAAUGUAAUUUGCCUAUGCAAAAUCAUAUUUUACAGGUAAAAGGUCAUGCGUAAUCAUUUGGAUUAUCGGAUUAACUGAUGCGUUUUUUUUAUCUGUAUCCUUGCAGACAACAGGUAGAGUUGUGCAGAUGAUCCACCUUAACUGACAUAAUGUUAAACAUGCCCAUAAAUCCGCCUGUCCUCUCUCCUCCUCUGUGACGCGGAGCGGCGGCGCCGGAGGAGGCCCGCGCGCUGCUCAUUCUUCCAGGUAGCUGGGCUGAUUUGGAGACGCAGAAACAGAGUCAAAUAAGUAGAACGGGUGAAUAUCAGAUGCGUUGCCCCGAGCUCUACACAUGAUGCACACCUGGUGGGGGAGAGACCCAAAAGAGUGAAGACAAACUUCCCCAUUUACUGAUGCAAUUACAACUUCAGACCCUCUAAGAGGAUUUAAUCUAUUAUAAUAGUCUGUUUUUGGGGUGUGCCAGUCCUGAUUCCGCGCGCACUCUUCCCGGACCCGUCUCACCGGCCCUUUAGCCCGGUGUCAUAGAGGCUGACAAGCUGCAAUUACAGCGGCUGACAUUUUCCUCUCCAAGCUCACUAAUGUGGGAGACAUGGACAGCAGGCUGCGGCUCUCUGGCCACGAGGCCAUGCUCGGGACGGCCACGCGCUCCUGCGCUGACCUCCUAACAUUUCAGCAGAGGAAUACCCUCUUAUUUAUUAGGAGUUUCUGAUCUGAGGGCGGGAAUCGGACCACUCUAUAAACAGAAGCAUAAACUUAAAAUUCAUAUUUACAGGAGUCGUUUGAUCCUGAUUGAAAUCUGCGCGUCAUAUCAGGUUUAAAUUAGCAUUUAAAACAAUGGAAGGUAUUGUGUCCAGAUUCAUGUGAACCAGGCUCCAGUUUUUCACUUGUUCUUGACCAAAAAAGCGCAAAUUAUUGGCCGUUUUAUAACAUUUUUAUGAUCAGAUUUAAAAAAAAAAAGAAGUUUAGUUCAUAUUUUUGCCAGUUUUCAAAAUGAAGCAAUAAAAAUACAUUUUUUAUCACAUAUUCUUGAUUUUUUUAAGUAUUUGAAUCAUUACAGUUAACGCUGACGUCAUCAUUGUUAUUGAGAUGAAUCUGCUGUUUGGUGAUGGCAUCUGCUUGUCACAUUCACUCCAAGUUGACGCUCUCAUGAAAGUUUCAGCGUCCAAUCAGCGGCCGCGAGCGAGCCCCCCCCCCGCUUGUUCUGUGUGUUUGUGUCAUCAGGGCUGCAGUCACCGUGUCACCCACGAUCAAGCUAUUAUCUCACGUUUUGAUUGUUGUGCAUGGCAUACGCGCGCGCGCGCCCCCCGCUCAGUGACCACCUCAGAUCAGGUUCGUCCGUCCAGAGCGCGCGGGACUCGGAAAGGAGACCAGUUCCUGCUUGAAGACCAGAGGAAGACUGCGGGUCCGAAUGGUUGAUGUCAACUUUUGAACCCCUCCCCCCCAAUUUUGUUUACUAUAUCUUUUCAGAUAUUUAUUCAAAAUAAAUAUUUAAUUAUUAAAAACAAUCCACAACUCGAAUAUCAUAUUCAGGGAGGAGCCAGGACGCAAUUUAUUCAUCAUAAAGGAGUUCAAUCGACAUUAAAACGUCCAACAAUCAUUUUCAAACGAACAAAAAAAGCAAUUAAAUACAUAAGAUAUUCUUUAAUUCAUACUAAAUUAUGUUUUAUAUGACCCUUUUCUUUGAUUAACAAACAUUUACUGCCAUAAACUUAAUUUGGUAAAGUUUUAUUAUUCGAAACUUUUCCAAAAAUUCAUCCUUAAAGAAAUAUAAAGUUAAAGUGGACUCAAUUUUAGGACAACGGAAGUAUUUUUUCCUUAAAGUUAGGUGUAAACUUUCCCAGAAAACUUUUCUUUUACCAGAAAGGAGAAAAGGUGUUUUUGUCACAGCGAAAAAAAGUUAUUUUAGAGACGGUUGCUAUAGUAACAGAUUGUUAUUUUAGCUAAAUUAGAGAAAGACAAUCACUUCAAACUUGAAAAGCUACUUUUUCUCCAGAACAGUUGCCAUAUUUAUUAAUAGUAAUAUUAAUAGGAUGUAUUUUGGUGCAUGGGUGUUUUUUUUUUUACUUUUUUUUACUAAAUGUGAAGCUAACAAAAAAAUUAUCUAAUGUCAGUCAUAAUAUAAAGAUAAUUUGAAAUUGAUUGUCUCAAGAUCUUAUUAAACUGAACUGUAUCUGGAAGUUAAAUAAUGUUCGCCUUUACGCACAAGUGCGUAAUUACGCACAGACGAACAUCCUACUUGACACUAAAACGAAUCAAAAGAAGAAAAAAGUCUGGAAAAACUUUUGCAUAUGCUUCUACCUCACUGACCUACAUUUCUGAAGUGAAUUUAGCUCUUUAUGAAUGAUUCAGGCUCGGAUAGAUCACUGGUUUUGGGUGGCAGAUGUCAGAGCGCGAUGGAGAUGUUUAUUGGACUCAUUUAAGGCGCCAUUAUCCCGCCCGCUUAUCAAACAUUCAUGCGUGUCAGCUGCAGUUGUGGGUCUGGCCUCACGAGGACCAACCUUUCCCCUCAGCCUCAUCUCCUCGCACAUGAAGGAAACAAAACAAGUGAGUCAACACUUCCGAAAACGCCAAGGCUGCGUCAAAACGUCCAAAGAGAAUGCGGGUAGAGAUCUAAGGGGUUAUGAUGUUUCAUGUUGGUUCAUUUACGCAUCAAAACUAAAAAAUGGCAGAAUCUGAAUAUAAGAUCCAAAAAAAUUACAAUUUUGUUUUAAAUGCGCAGACGUUUAAUGUAAUAUAAUAAAUAAAAUUCAAAAUAUAAAGUGUCAGUGCAUUUGUUUGAUUAAAAAAUAUAUAUUUUUUGCGUAAAUUGAAAACGUUUCGUCUGAUUUUCAACAUAAUUGAUCAGAUUCUACGCAAACAUCAGCAUGGAUGUCUCUGUAUGUCCAUAAAAGGCGCGCCACCAUCCGCGCAAACGGAGCCUCACAAUGCUGCGCGCGCGCCCUGCGCUCUGCAUGUCGUGCGGGGCUAAUGGGAAGUAGUCGGAAGGUAAGGUCGCGGGUUCAUGGCGGGGUUAAAGAGACCCGUCCACGGCUCCUGUUUGCUCCUCUCUCUCCUUCCUACAGGAUGAUGUGUCCGCAGCGUCGCCGCCUCACCCCGCAGCCACCCCGUCACCGCACUCUGUUUGUUUUUCUGCGUUUAUUAAAUCUUCCUCCGACAGGAAAAGUGACCCCCCCCCAUCACCACGUCACGAGUUUGGCACUUUGCAUCACUUCUCAACUCCCUGAGAAAACCUUUUGUGUUUGGACUCGUCAGGUCUAUUUAUAUCCCAGGAGCAGCUGUUCCAGCAUCGGGAGGCUUUUCUUUCGAGGAUUUAUCGACCAAACGACAUAUUUGGACAUCCAUAGAGUAAAUGUAUUAUUCAUACGUGUUUUCUGCACAAAUACUGUUUUCCAAGGACUUGUUUUAACAAUUUACCGCCAUGUUUGUGGGGUUUUCAAAACUAUGAGCCAAAAAAAAAAAUCACACAAAUGUGAGUAAAAUGUGCUUUUACACUAGUUUUGACUAUUUAUUUUUUAUAAAAGUCUUGCAAAAGAUUUGCUUAAAAUCAUAUUAUCUGCUAUUUCACGUGUUUUUAUUUUAUUUAUUAAUUGUAAUUUAACUUUUAUGAGUGUUUUCUAAUGAUUUCUUUUAAAAAUUUGCCUUCAUUUUAGUGGAUUUUUUAAAAAUAUAUGUGCCAAUAAUCCCACAAAUGUAAUUAAAACGUGGAUAAAAAAUUACUUUGACACUAUUUUUUACAAAAGUAUUUUCUAAAAUGCAAAACAUUUGCUUGAAAUUGUAUUAUCUGCUAUUUCACAUGCGUUCCUGUUAACAUUAAAACAUGGAAACAAAGA